rnacentral:tRNA from 6 species
GGAGCAGUGGCCGAGUGGUCGAAGGCGCACGCCUGGAAAGUGUGUAUACGGCAACCCCGUAUCGAGGGUUCGAAUCCCUCCUGCUCCGCCA